rnacentral:rRNA from 1 species
GACGAACGCUGGCGGCGUGCUUAACACAUGCAAGUCGAACGGAAAGGCCCUGCUUUUGUGGGGUUCUCGAGUGGCGAACGGGUGAGUAACACGUGAGUAACCUGCCCUUGACUUUCGGAUAACUUCAGGAAACUGGGGCUAAUACCGGAUAUGAGCUCCUGCUGCAUGGUGGGGGUUGGAAAGUUUCGGCGGUUGGGGAUGGACUCGCGGCUUAUCAGCUUGUUGGUGGGGUAGUGGCUUACCAAGGCUUUGACGGGUAGCCGGCCUGAGAGGGUGACCGGCCACAUGGGGACUGAGAGACGGCCCAGACUCCUACGGGAGGCAGCGGUGGAGAAUCUUGCGCAGUGAGCGGGAGCCUGAUACAGCAACGCCGCGAGCGGAAAGACGGCCUUCGGGUUGUGAACCAAUUUCGCCUGUGACAAAGCGUGAGUGACGGUAAUGAGUAAAGAAGCACCGGCUAACUACGUG